UAAAUGCUGUAUAGGAGGAUCUCAUUGAGAAGAUAUCAUUUGAGCAAAGAUGUAAAGCAAGGGAGGGAAUGAGUCAGUGGCUACAUAGCGAGAGUGUCCUAGGCAGAGGAAACAGCUUCUACAAAAGCCCUGAAGCAAGAGAAUGUUUGAAGUGUUCAAGAAUAAACAGGAGAUGCAGAAUGAAUGGAAUUGAGAGUGAGUGAGGCAGUCGGAUACAAGAGAGACUAAUAUGGGGCAGCACUGAAGACUGCUGACAGCAGCCACAUGAGUGAGCUCAGAGUGGACACAACAGCCCCUUCAGAGGCUGCAGGGAUGGCAGACAGCCUGACUGCAAUGUCGUGAAAGAUGCUGAGGCAGAACCAUGCAGCAAAGUCAUUCCCAGAUUCCUGACUCUCAGAAAAUGUGUGAGAUAAUAAAUGCUAUUAUUUUAAGCUGCUAA
rnacentral:lncRNA from 10 species